rnacentral:rRNA from 1 species
GAUGAACGCUGGCGGCGUGCCUAAUACAUGCAAGUCGAGCGAACAGAUAAGGAGCUUGCUCCUUUGACGUUAGCGGCGGACGGGUGAGUAACACGUGGGUAACCUACCUAUAAGACUGGGAUAACUUCGGGAAACCGGAGCUAAUACCGGAUAACAUUUGGAACCGCAUGGUUCUAAAGUGAAAGAUGGUUUUGCUAUCACUUAUAGAUGGACCCGCGCCGUAUUAGCUAGUUGGUAAGGUAACGGCUUACCAAGGCAACGAUACGUAGCCGACCUGAGAGGGGGAUCGGCCCCACUGAAACUGGGACACGGCCCGAACUCCUAGGGAAGGCAGCGUAAGGAAAUCUUCCGCAAGGGGGGAAGGCCUAACGGGGAAACGCGGGGUGGGUAAGAAGGGGUUUCGGCUCGUAAAACUCUGUUAUUAGGGAAAAACAAACGUGUAGGUAACUGUGCACGUCUUAACGGUACCUAAUCAAAAGGCCACGGCUAACUACGG